CUACGGGACGCAGCAGUGGGGAAUUUUGCGCAAUGGGGGAAACCCUGACGCAGCAAUACCGCGUGAGUGAAGAAGGCCUUUGGGUCGUAAAGCUCUUUUCUUGGGGAAGAUAGUGACGGUACCCAAGGAAUAAGCACCGGCUAACUCCGUGCCAGCAGCCGCGGUAAUACGGAGGGUGCAAGCGUUGUUCGGAUUUACUGGGCGUAAAGGGCACGUAGGCGGCACAGCAAGUUAAGGGUGAAAUCCCGGGGCUCAACUCCGGAGCUGCUCUUAAAACUGCUGAGCUAGAGAUAGUCAGAGGCGGGUGGAAUUCCAGGUGUAGAGGUGAAAUUCGUAGAUAUCUGGAGGAACACCGGUGGCGAAGGCGGCCCGCUGGGGCUAUUCUGACGCUAAGGUGCGAAAGCGUGGGGAGCAAACGGGAUUAGAUACCCUGGUAGUC
rnacentral:rRNA from 1 species